GAUGAACGCUGGCGGCGUGCCUAAUACAUGCCAGUCGAGCGAACGGACGAGAAGCUUGCUUUUCUGAUGUUAGCGGCGGACGGGUGAGUAACACGUGGAUAACCUACCUAUAAGACUGGGAUAACUUCGGGAAACCGGAGCUAAUACCGGAUAAUAUUUUGAACCGCAUGGUUCAAAAGUGAAAGACGGUCUUGCUGUCACUUAUAGAUGGAUCCGCGCUGCAUUAGCUAGUUGGUAAGGUAACGGCUUACCAAGGCGACGAUGCAUAGCCGACCUGAGAGGGUGAUCGGCCACACUGGAACUGAGACACGGUCCAGACUCCUACGGGAGGCAGCAGUAGGGAAUCUUCCGCAAUGGGCGAAAGCCUGACGGAGCAACGCCGCGUGAGUGAUGAAGGUCUUCGGAUCGUAAAACUCUGUUAUUAGGGAAGAACAUAUGUGUAAGUAACUGUGCACAUCUUGACGGUACCUAAUCAGAAAGCCACGGCUAACUACGUG
rnacentral:rRNA from 1 species